AGAGUUUGAUCCUGGCUCAGGACGAACGCUGGCGGCGUGGUUUAGGCAUGCAAGUCGAACGGUAUAUAUGCCUUCGGGUGUAUAGAGAGUGGCGAACGGGUGAGUAACACGUAGAUAAUCUACCCUCAAGAGGGGGAUAACCCAGGGAAACUUGGGCUAAUACCGCAUGAGUGCAUCAGUAAUGGUGUAUAAAAGGUGGCCUUCGGGCUGUCGUUUGGGGAUGAGUCUGCGUCCUAUUAGUUAGUUGGUGAGGUAAAUGCUCACCAAGGCGAUGAUAGGUAGGCGGCCUUAACGGGUGGUCGCCCACACUGGGAUUGAGAUACGGCCCAGACUCCUACGGGAGGCAGCAGUCGAGAAUAGUCUACAAUGGACGAAAGUCUGAUAGUGCGACGCCGCGUGAACGAAGAAUCCCUUAUGGGGUGUAAAGUUCUUUUAUAUGUGAGCAAUGGCGUAUAUAUUAAUAGUAUGUACGCAGAGAUAUUAGCAUAUGAAUAAGCAACGGCUAACUCCGUGCCAGCAGCCGCGGUAACACGGGGGUUGCAAGCGUUGUCCGGAAUUACUAGGCGUAAAGGGCAGGUAGGCGGAUCAGUAAGUUUGAUGUUAAAUCCAUCGGCUCACCCGAUGACAGGCAUCAGAUACUGCUGAUCUGGAAUACGGUUGAGGAAGACAGAAUUCCUGGUGUAGCGGUGGAAUGCGCAGAGAUCAGGAGGAAUACCGAAUGCGAAGGCAGUCUUCUGGGCCGUUAUUGACGCUAAACUGCGAAGGUGUGGGGAUCAAACAGGAUUAGAUACCCUGGUAGUCCACACAGUAAACGAUAAUCACUAGGUGUUGGGUUCGCAGCGAACUCGGUGCCGUAGCUAACGCGUUAAGUGAUUCGCCUGGGGAGUACGAUCGCAAGGUUGAAACUCAAAGGAAUUGACGGGGGCCCGCACAAGCGGUGGAGCAUGUGGUUUAAUUCGAUGCAACGCGAGGAACCUUACCAGGUCUUGACAUUGACAGGAAUGGUCGUGAAAGCGAUCAGCUUUUCGGAGUCUGUUCACAGGUGCUGCAUGGCUGUCGUCAGCUCGUGCUGUGAAGUGUUGGGUUAAGUCCCGCAACGAGCGCAACCCCUGCUGUCUGUUGCUACCAAGUGAAGUUGGGCACUCAGACGAGACUGCCAUCGUAGAAAGCUGGAGGAAGGUGGGGACGACGUCAAGUCAUCAUGGUCCUUAUGUCCAGGGCUACACACGUGCUACAAUGGUUGGUACAAAGAGCAGCGAGACAGUAAUGUUAAGCGAAUCUCAUAAAGCCAAUCUCAGUUCGGAUUGAGGUCUGCAACUCGACCUCAUGAAGUCGGAAUCGCUAGUAAUCGUGCGUCAGAACAGCACGGUGAAUACGUUCCCGGGUCUUGUACACACCGCCCGUCA
rnacentral:rRNA from 1 species